CUUCCACCGCCUCCACCUACAGAUGGACCACCACAUCCGCCUCUUCCACCACCUCCACCUACAGAUGGACCACCAGUUCCGCCUCUUCCACCACCUCCACCUACAGAUGGACCACCACUACCUCCUCUUCCACCACCUCCUCCAACAGAUGUGCCAUCACUACCGCCUCCUACCCCAGACUGCAAAGACAAGGCUUCCAACUGUSUUCAGUUGUUACGGUACUGUAGAUUAUCUUCUGAUUUUGCAUACAAAUGGUGCCAUAGGACGUGCAAGAAAUGUCGAAAGCAUCUAUCAUACUGGAAAUUAAUCGAUACUAUAAAUGAAUGAUUAUAUGACGAAUAAGCAUGUAAAUGAUACAAAUUUUAGUUUAUAUACAUAUGGCUUUUGUGUUCAUUUAUAUUUAUUCCUAUGCUACAUUAAAUYCAAGACACAUAAUGUUAGAAUCUGCUGUGUUAAAUACAAAACAAGUGUGAACUUUAAAUACUGUAAUUUGCUUCUAUGAAAAGUAAGUACUGACGUAAAUCAUGAAAUGUAGAACAUUUAAUGCAGUGCACAAGGGAAUUGUUACUUUUACAAUUUAAAGUAUAUCUUUGAAGUCUUCACGCCUUUUGUUGCCUUUGUUGAAUGAGUACAUUCAGCUAUAUAUACUGUCAUAUAUCACUUGAGCAGAUGCCUACAACAUUGCAUUGUACA